ACCCAGUUUCACAAGCUGGGUUAGGGUGCUUGUAAAGUUCGUAUAUGGAAUUCGCUGUGUCAUUUAAUCGGCCCACCCUUUUCAAGCAAUCAAUUUCGUCCGGAUCAACAAGCAAGGUCAGAUAGAGGGGCUGGCUCAUCACACGUGCAACGACUAUGAGUUCCGAGGCUAGGAGAUACAGAAUUCAAGAAAGUCCAUUCAGAGCCUUGGUUAUGUGGAAGUCUGAAUGCAUGGAAUGUAACACUCUUGAGUUGAGUUAAGGUAUAUGUGCAGGUUCUUUACAUUGGAAAGGAAGGAAGAUAUAUAAACUAAAAGAAGGGAUAGCAAGUGUACCUUAGGUGGACCUUCCAAUGCAUUAGUGCAAUAUAGUCUUGCGUUGUCAACCAGUUGGCAAUAUGUUAGAAAUGCAUUUGCAAAUCUCUUGUGGGAUUUCAAUUGUGAGUUUACUCGUACAGCUCUUCUACACAUGAUAGCUCUCCUGUUGUCAUUGACUUUCAUUUAUCAGGGCCUCAAGAGGAAAUGCUUUUCUUUUUACUGCUAAAAGUUCGAAAGUGAACAAAAAAAUAAGGUAAGACCACAUACCUUAUGCCUCUUAUAGCAGCUAGAUAAGCAUCACACACAACUCCAACAAGCUCUAUCCUGUAUGGUUUUCUCUUUCUGCCUCCUACUUGUUCUGGUUCUUCAUCGUCAAGUCGUUCCCAAUAGUUUUCUAUAACAGUUCCAUCUUCACCCUCCUUGUAACCAGGUCCCAUCCGAUAACGGCGGCGGUGGACAUUUCUGGCCAUUGUUACCGUCUGCACAACAAAUGGUACCCAAGAGAGUGUGCCAUCCAUGAUCACAUCCCGCCCUUCAUUAAGUGCUGUGACCAAGAGUGAUGAUGCUGCGUCCGUAGAUGAUUGGUGUACCUGUUUGAAAUCAUUUUAAUCAGCUCAUACUAUCCUUAAAAAAUUAUUUGAAUGAACUGUAGUUAAGGAUAGGUAUCUAUGAGUUUUAUAUACAAUAAUAUAAAGUUAUCCAACUGAAGUUUUUCCACA